AGUGAACGCUGGCGGUAGGCCUAACACAUGCAAGUCGAACGGCAGCACAGUAAGAGCUUGCUCUUACGGGUGGCGAGUGGCGGACGGGUGAGGAAUACAUCGGAAUCUACUUUUUCGUGGGGGAUAACGUAGGGAAACUUACGCUAAUACCGCAUACGACCUACGGGUGAAAGCAGGGGAUCUUCGGACCUUGCGCGAUUGAAUGAGCCGAUGUCGGAUUAGCUAGUUGGCGGGGUAAAGACCCACCAAGGCGACGAUCCGUAGCUGGUCUGAGAGGAUGAUCAGCCACACUGGAACUGAGACACGGUCCAGACUCCUACGGGAGGCAGCAGUGGGGAAUAUUGGACAAAGGGCGCAAGCCUGAUCCAGCCAUACCGCGUGGGUGAAGAAGGCCUUCGGGUUGUAAAGCCCUUUUGUUGGGAAAGAAAAGCAGCAGGUUAAUACCCCGCUGUUCUGACGGUACCAAAAGAAUAAGCACCGGCUAACUUCGUG
rnacentral:rRNA from 1 species